AAAUAUUUUCAUGAAAAACAUUUUAUUAGAAAACAAUUUUCAAGGAAAACAAUUUCCAUAUACAAGUUAUUUUCCCUGAAACAAAUGGAACCUUAUAAUCUGAUAACUAGAUCAAAAACCAUGCACAAUUGAAAUUACAAAACACAGUUAUGAUUAAACUAUUUCUAGAUCAUCUUUCUAACUGUGGGUGGGCAAAACAAAAGUAAAUCAAGUCUGCUAAAACAGUGAAACCGCAAAUUGAACCUGCAUGAAUAUGUUUGGCCAAGUCUAAGUCAAGUAGUCAACCCUGAACUUCUAAUGGAAUGUCAAAGAACCAUGUACCUGCAGCCCUUUCAGCAAGGCAAU
rnacentral:misc_RNA from 1 species